AUCGUACAAAGGGUUUCAUUACAAACAUUAGCACAUUCAUAUCACGUAGUACUUGGAUGUCCUAAGAUCCACCUGUGCCCUGGGCAGCUGUGAUAGAGUGAUAAAGAUCCCUCCCUCCAAGAAGGCAACUCUCCUAUCUCCGAGAGCUCAGCCACCCUACAACAAGGGAAUGGGCUUGUGGUAGUUCAUGAUGCGAAUCCCUCUAUCCUUACCUUUCACCACACUGGUAUAGGCGGCCAUGACAGUAUGUGCAGGCAGAAAAGGUCCUCUUGGGUUUAAAGGAGACAAGGGUGUCAGAGGGCAGGAGGUCAGGAGAGGUGAUACAGGCUUCCCAGGUCCUCCAGGACUCCCCACCCUCUACCUUUGGAGGAACUCCCAGGAGGACAGGACUUCCUUCAGGGUAAGAUUCUUUCUGUCUUUCCAGUGUCCACUGUCCACCCAUCUCACAGCAUCCUGCCUGGGAGUGUUAUGAAACUUAAUGUAACAUGCAGUUUUUGGCGCAUGUGCUGUCAAAGAAUAGCUUGAUCUCCCAGUUCACCAGGACAUGUUGUUGGAUGUGCGUCACAGCAGAGCAGCAGCCCUGGCCCUGACACCGACCCAGCCAUGGCAGUGUUCUCACCAGACUCCCCAAUCCGGCUAUUUCGGACUG
rnacentral:lncRNA from 1 species